rnacentral:rRNA from 1 species
CAGCCGCCGCGGUAAUACCGGCGGCCCGAGUGGCGGUCACUAUUAUUUGGCUUAAAGCGUCCGUAGCCGGGUUGGGAAGUCCUCCGGGAAAUCUGGCCGCUUAACGGUCAGAAUGCCGGAGGAUACUCCCAGCCUAGGGAGCGGGAGAGGCCGAGGGUAUUCCCGGAGUUGGGGGGAAAUCCUAUAAUCCCGGGAGGACCACCGGUGGCGAAGGCGCUCGGCUGGAACGCGUCCGACGGUGAGGGACGAAGGCCAGGGGAGCAAACCGGAUUAGAUACCCGGGUAGUCCUGGCUGUAAACGAUGCGGACUUUGUGUCGGACAAGCUAUGAGCUUGUCCGGUGCCGGAGGGAAACCGUUAAGUCCGCCGCCUGGGGAGUACGGCCGCAAGGCUGAAACUUAAAGGAAUUGGCGGG